UUUUUUUUUUUUUUUUUUUUUUUUUUUUUUUUUUUUUUUUUUGCUGUUUGUUCUUCUGAAGAAACGGU
rnacentral:ribozyme from 1 species